CAUGGCACCGCUUGGCAAGCCAUGUUGUGGUAGGCGUCCCACAUAUAAACUAGAGGAAGAGGGGCAUGGGUGUUAGCUCAGGGCCAGUCUUCCUCCCCAAAAAGAGGAGGGUUGGCAGCAGAUAUUAGCUCAGGGCUAAUCUUCCUCAAAAAAAAAAACAAAAAAAAAAGAAAGAAAAAAGCAGUUUUCCUUGAUGCAAACCUCAUGCUCUUGAUUGCUACAUUGGACUUAUUUUUAGCACUUGGUGGAGGUGCUAAAGGGUUGUGGGUUGUGGCUUCUCCUGCCAGCUCUGCUAGAGGGCAGGUGGUUGGGAGAGAUAUGGAACCUCCCAGUUGGAAUGACUGAUGGUCUUGGUCUCAUUGGCUCUGUUCACAGUCUGCCCCUGAGCCAGAACACCAGCCUUACUGGGUGGCACAUUGGGACAGCUCUCCACAACUGUUUCCCAAUGACGCCUUGGACAAUGUCACUGUCACCACCAGCAGGAACCGCCCCCUCCUUCCUAUUUCAUCACUCUCAAGCCAAGGUUCCCUCUCCCUCAGGGUGUCCGCUAGGAUCUAGCUACGGGGUGGGGGUCUGAUACAAACCAGAAGGCAAAUGGUGAGAGUCCACAUGCUUCCUGUAUUAGUCAUGAGUCCUCUGGUUGUAAGUAACAGAAUUACCGCUGGGACCAGCUUAAGAAGAAAGGAGGUGAGGGGAAGUUUAUUGGUUCAUGUGACCAGAGCAGAAAAUCUUCUUCUUGGGGAUGGACCCUGUUUCUCUGCUCAGUCCCGUGCCAAUCCUUGGAUGAAUCAGAUGGAUGGGGACACUGAUGGGCUCAGUCCUAGUCACAAGCCCCCUUCUCUGGCAGGAGGAAGGGCUGCUGGAACCACGGGAUCAAAAUCGGGGUGGAAGAGGCCCACAAAAAAGGGGAUUGUUGUUCUUGCAGACGAUUCGAGUCGGAUCUGCUCUGGUUAACCAGAGGCCCCCCCCGCCCCCGACUCAGAAAUGAGACCUCCUGCAGGACCCUGUGGAGGGCCGACCCUGAGCCCUGCAUCUGAAGGGGGUAAGUGAGCCCAUAAUUAUGCUUGUUGUUUAGGUCGGAGUACAGGAGGGUUUACAUUAAAGACCUCAGCUGGCACACACAGCGUGCCUAUGGAAAACAUGACCCAGUCUCCUCCUCCCGCUCCUCCAUCCCAGACUUGCAUGUCCAAGGGCUUUGGGUUUCACAGACGCCUUUCAUGACUCCGCUUUCUGACCACUCCUGAUUAGAAGCUUGGAUUCCCCCAGUUCCAAGAGGCAUCUCAGCCCUGAGGUCUGGAAAUUGAGCCGUGAGCUGCCUUUUGAGAAUCAUGAAAUUUAGGUCUUGGACUGGUCUAAGCUGGUGUAUCUCAAACCUUAACGUUCAUGUGAAUCACCUGAAGAUUUUGUUAGAAGUGCAGACUCGAAUGCAGCCAUCCUGGGAUGGGACUGGGAAGUCUGCAUUUCUAAAAAGCUGCAUUUCUACAAAGCUCAAAUUUGUAGCCAGCCAGUGGCUGGUCAUUGGACUACGUUUGGAGUAGCCAGAUUCUAAGCUAAAUUCCUUAUUUUACAAAGAAUAAAAGGGAGGCCCAGAGACCUGAAAAAGCUUGU
rnacentral:lncRNA from 1 species